rnacentral:rRNA from 1 species
GGGUUGUGAGGUUAAGCGACUAAGCGUACACGGUGGAUGCCCUGGCAGUCAGAGGCGAUGAAGGACGUGCUAAUCUGCGAAAAGCGUCGGUAAGGUGAUAUGAACCGUUAUAGCCGGCGAUGUCCGAAUGGGGAAACCCAGUGCAAUUCGUUGCACUAUCGUUAACUGAAUACAUAGGUUAACGAGGCGAACCGGGGGAACUGAAACAUCUAAGUACCCCGAGGAAAAGAAAUCAACCGAGAUUCCCCCAGUAGCGGCGAGCGAACGGGGAGCAGCCCAGAGUCUGAAUCAGCUUGUGUGUUAGUGGAACGGUCUGGAAAGUCCGACGGUACAGGGUGAUAGUCCCGUACACCAAAAUGCACAGGUUGUGAACUCGAAGAGUAGGGCGGGACACGUGGUAUCCUGUCUGAAUAUGGGGGGACCAUCCUCCAAGGCUAAAUACUCCUGACUGACCGAUAGUGAACCAGUACCGUGAGGGAAAGGCGAAAAGAACCCCGGCGAGGGGAGUGAAAAAGAACCUGAAACCGUGUACGUACAAGCAGUGGGAGCACCUUAGGGUGUGACUGCGUACCUUUUGUAUAAUGGGUCAGCGACUUAUAUUCUGUAGCAAGGUUAACCGUAUAGGGGAGCCGCAGGGAAACCGAGUCUUAACUGGGCGUUAAGUUGCAGGGUAUAGACCCGAAACCCGGUGAUCUAGCCAUGGGCAGGUUGAAGGUUGGGUAACACUAACUGGAGGACCGAACCGACUAAUGUUGAAAAAUUAGCGGAUGACUUGUGGCUGGGGGUGAAAGGCCAAUCAAACCGGGAGAUAGCUGGUUCUCCCCGAAAGCUAUUUAGGUAGCGCCUCGUGAACUCAUCUUCGGGGGUAGAGCACUGUUUCGGCUAGGGGGUCAUCCCGACUUACCAACCCGAUGCAAACUACGAAUACCGAAGAAUGUUAUCACGGGAGACACACGGCGGGUGCUAACGUCCGUCGUGAAGAGGGAAACAACCCAGACCGCCAGCUAAGGUCCCAAAGUCACAGUUAAGUGGGAAACGAUGUGGGAAGGCACAGACAGCCAGGAUGUUGGCUUAGAAGCAGCCAUCAUUUAAAGAAAGCGUAAUAGCUCACUGGUCGAGUCGGCCUGCGCGGAAGAUGUAACGGGGCUAAACUGUGCACCGAAGCUGCGGCAGCGACACUAUGUGUUGUUGGGUAGGGGAGCGUUCUGUAAGCCUGCGAAGGUGGCCUGUGAGGGUUGCUGGAGGUAUCAGAAGUGCGAAUGCUGACAUAAGUAACGAUAAUGCGGGUGAAAAGCCCGCACGCCGGAAGACCAAGGGUUCCUGUCCAACGUUAAUCGGGGCAGGGUGAGUCGACCCCUAAGGCGAGGCCGAAAGGCGUAGUCGAUGGGAAACAGGUUAAUAUUCCUGUACUUGGUGUUACUGCGAAGGGGGGACGGAGAAGGCUAUGUUAGCCGGGCGACGGUUGUCCCGGUUUAAGCAUGUAGGCGGAGGUUCCAGGUAAAUCCGGUACCUUUUAACGCUGAGGUGUGAUGACGAGGCACUACGGUGCUGAAGUAACAAAUGCCCUGCUUCCAGGAAAAGCCUCUAAGCAUCAGGUAACAUUAAAUCGUACCCCAAACCGACACAGGUGGUCAGGUAGAGAAUACCAAGGCGCUUGAGAGAACUCGGGUGAAGGAACUAGGCAAAAUGGUGCCGUAACUUCGGGAGAAGGCACGCUGAUAUGUAGGUGAAGCCCCUGCGGGUGGAGCUGAAAUCAGUCGAAGAUACCAGCUGGCUGCAACUGUUUAUUAAAAACACAGCACUGUGCAAACACGAAAGUGGACGUAUACGGUGUGACGCCUGCCCGGUGCCGGAAGGUUAAUUGAUGGGGUUAUCCGUAAGGAGAAGCUCUUGAUCGAAGCCCCGGUAAACGGCGGCCGUAACUAUAACGGUCCUAAGGUAGCGAAAUUCCUUGUCGGGUAAGUUCCGACCUGCACGAAUGGCGUAAUGAUGGCCAGGCUGUCUCCACCCGAGACUCAGUGAAAUUGAACUCGCUGUGAAGAUGCAGUGUACCCGCGGCAAGACGGAAAGACCCCGUGAACCUUUACUAUAGCUUGACACUGAACAUUGAGCCUUGAUGUGUAGGAUAGGUGGGAGGCUUUGAAGCGUGGACGCCAGUCUGCGUGGAGCCAACCUUGAAAUACCACCCUUUAAUGUUUGAUGUUCUAACGUUGGCCCCUAAUCGGGGUUGCGGACAGUGUCUGGUGGGUAGUUUGACUGGGGCGGUCUCCUCCCAAAGAGUAACGGAGGAGCACGAAGGUUAGCUAAUCCUGGUCGGACAUCAGGAGGUUAGUGCAAUGGCAUAAGCUAGCUUGACUGCGAGCGUGACGGCGCGAGCAGGUGCGAAAGCAGGUCAUAGUGAUCCGGUGGUUCUGAAUGGAAGGGCCAUCGCUCAACGGAUAAAAGGUACUCCGGGGAUAACAGGCUGAUACCGCCCAAGAGUUCAUAUCGACGGCGGUGUUUGGCACCUCGAUGUCGGCUCAUCACAUCCUGGGGCUGAAGUAGGUCCCAAGGGUAUGGCUGUUCGCCAUUUAAAGUGGUACGCGAGCUGGGUUUAGAACGUCGUGAGACAGUUCGGUCCCUAUCUGCCGUGGGCGCUGGAGAAUUGAGGGGGGCUGCUCCUAGUACGAGAGGACCGGAGUGGACGCAUCACUGGUGUUCGGGUUGUCAUGCCAAUGGCAUUGCCCGGUAGCUAAAUGCGGAAGAGAUAAGUGCUGAAAGCAUCUAAGCACGAAACUUGCCCCGAGAUGAGUUCUCCCUGAGACUUUAAGUCUCCUGAAGGAACGUUAAAGACGAUGACGUUGAUAGGUCGGGUGUGUAAGCGUAGCGAUACGUUGAGCUAACCGAUACUAAUGAACCGUGAGGCUUAACCUUACAACGCCGAAGGUGUUU